GACGAACGCUGGCGGCGUGCUUAACACAUGCAAGUCGAACGGAAAGGCCCUGCUUUUGUGGGGUGCUCGAGUGGCGAACGGGUGAGUAACACGUGAGUAACCUGCCCUUGACUUUGGGAUAACUUCAGGAAACUGGGGCUAAUACCGGAUAGGAGCUCCUGCUGCAUGGUGGGGGUUGGAAAGUUUCGGCGGUUGGGGAUGGACUCGCGGCUUAUCAGCUUGUUGGUGGGGUAGUGGCUGACCAAGGCUUUGACGGGUAGCCGGCCUGAGAGGGUGACCGGCCACAUUGGGACUGAGAUACGGCCCAGACUCCUACGGGAGGCAGCAGGGGGGAAUAUUGCACAAUGGGCGGAAGCCUGAUGCAGCAACGCCGCGUGCGGGAUGACGGCCUUCGGGUUGUAAACCGCUUUCGCCUGUGACGAAGCGUGAGUGACGGUAAUGGGUAAAGAAGCACCGGCUAACUACGUG
rnacentral:rRNA from 1 species